UGGAACUAGGUGAUCUUAAGGUCCUUUCCAACCCAAACCAUUCUAUGAUUCCCAGUCUGUUUUCUCCUCUCUCAGUUUGGAAGAUGAGACACACUAGCAGUAUGAUGAACAAUUACAAGAUGAGCAAUAUACUGAUACCACUGCCCAGCAAUUCUAGAUAAUCCUGGCCUUCUUUAGUGCAUUUACAUAAGCACUGACACUACUACAGUCUCCACUGUACCAACCUUUUGCUCCUCUGUAGGGUCCUACUAGUUCUGCUUUAUUGUCUCAUCCCUUCCCACCCAAAACUCUGCAGAGUGGAGGUGGUAUCCACAGAGCCUCCAUGCCCCAGCAGUAACUAGGAGCUGGAGGCAGCUUAUUCUUCACACCAUACACCCUGAGCUCCUGCCCCUCUGUGAGAUCAGUGUGGCUGAGGAGACAGAGCCAGAAGGAGACAAACUGAGCCUCUUUUCACCACUUAAGAUUUUACUGAUUUAGGCCAGAGUCACACUGAGCUAUGACCAGUAUCAAAAGAGGAAUCUCAAUGGAAGGCAAAAAUAUUUCACAGCAUCCAGACAUCCUACAGGUCUUCAGAAGCUGUUGAAGGACAAGACAGCAAUAAUCUUCAGGAGCUGAUCAGCUACACAAUAAACAGACCGAGGGAGAGGGGAGAAUCCUUCCAACUUGUAAACUGCAUAAAUGAAAAGGAAGCAGAUACAGGACACCAGGACACUCCCCCAACCCCAAUAAGGAUGAGGAAACAAAUACUCACCACUGAAACACUUUCCAGAGGGAUGGAUUCUGAAUCCUGUUUAUUUUGAGGAUGCUGUAUUUCUUCAUAGUCUGAUGAAACAGCUGCUUUAUUUGGUUGUAUUCAGCAGUUGUAUCAGUGAUCUCCACUGCCUAUAAAAUACAAACCAAAGCAAAAAAAGACAUGAGGCUUCAGUUAGCUCAUAACAUGCCAAAGCCUCAUUACAGCAGGUACACUUUCAGAAAAGAGUCCCCAACUAUACUUAUGAAGGUUAACUUAAUGUUUUAGAUUGUGACUAUGUGACUAAAUUAGGACAGACACUUAAUAUGUAAACCAAUGUGUCACUCCUGCGCUGCAAGGACACCUCGCCUCUCUUCAGGAAGGAUGCUGAAAGGGUCAGUUAAAUGUUCAUCACCUUCAAGUAAGGGUUGACACAACUUUAGAUCUCAGUGAAACAGAAAUUUCAGAAACAAAACUUCACUGAUUAUGCCAGAUGUUAGUUUUAUAUAUAAAGCUGUUUAAGAACAAAAGGUGCUAGAAAACAGUAUCAUUUGUAACCAGACAUUUAAUGAAGCAUCAGCUAUUAAAGGUGAAACAAACACAUACAACCUCCCAGGAUCACAGCUCCUUAACUUAUCGAAGUUAAAACUUGGAAAGUUGCACUUAAAUACAGACUUAAGAAAAAAAGCUCAAUUUCUAAACAUAAGAGAACAAUUAGGAUUCUAAUAAGAAGGUUACACUAAAUACCCGUUUCAGCAAGUAGAUCUCCUUUCCUAAAGGAAACAAAGUCUAUUUAUUCAUACUUUUUGUGUUUAAAAACCCAUCAGGAAAUGUGCAUUUUUCCCAUAGAAGAGCUAAUGUAAACCAGAAUUAAAAUAAGAUUGGAGCUCUUCUGCUUGCUUGUGUCAUGCAUAAAGUUUCCAUUUUUUCUCUGAAGUAAUCUAUGCUUCGAUCUUCUACAAUAAACACUUCUCUUCCAUAAGCUUGACUGAAAAUGCAUAAUGCUGGUAGACUGAUGUCACUUGGCAGUACUUUCCGCUUCACUGCUGCCUAAGCCAAGCGGGGACGUGAGGUGACAUCUCGCAUAUCAAAGUUGUGUUUAAAGCAGGAAAACUGCUUUAAUGGAAUCAACAUCUUACCAACAUCAGGCAAAAACUCCAUGUUUUACAAGGCUGAGUUUGAAGAGGAGAUAAAAAUAGGACUUAUAUUUCACAGCUGCAUAUAAAUAAAGAGGUGUUUUUCUGGACACCAUGUCCAGAUUGUGCACUAAGGACUUACUGAUGAAAAGGCCUUAUCAUAGGAAAGUCUUCUAAGGAUUGAAAAUAAAGUCAGCUACACAAGAAAGAAUAAUUUCUUUGAAUUUAUUAAAAAGCUUUUACAAGGUUGAAUUAAAUUUCGCAUGUCUUAAUACAAGAGUAUUUUCCAAAGCUUUUUUAAAACAUAAUACAAUACAUAAAACAA